GCGGGGGUCGGGGAGAGGAGCCGGCGGGGCCGCCCACCCGUACCCGCGGAGCCGCACCGGGAGCUCUACCCCAGCCGGGCUGGCACCUGCGGGCCGGUGGCACCGGCCACCAGCCCUUUUGGAGCUACAUCCUAAAAGUUGUCACAGUUAUCAGUCUUGCCGGCAGAGCAGCUGAAGUCUGCGGAAAAACUUCUUUCCCUUGCUUGCCAGAGGGCAGGCGCCCACAUGGGGUGAAGGUUGAAUUGCUUUCAUUAAUAAUCAAACUAAAAGUAUUCCUGACUGUGCCUUGGAACAAGGAAAUAACUCCUAAUUUUAUCAGACAUUUCUUGCUGUCAUGACUUUGAGGUCUCUGAACAAAAUGAAUUUCAUUACAAGGCUUCCUGCUUUAUGUCUGAGGAAAAGCAAGAUGCAACACAGGCACCAAAGUAAUAGACGACCAGCUGUUCCACUUGGAUCACGGAUUUUAACUGAUCCUUCUAAGGUCUUUGAGCAUAACAUGUGGGACCACAUGCAGUGGUCACAAGAAGAAGAGGAGAGUGCCAAGAAAAAAGCAGCAGAAAACUCACUUGUGAAAGUUGAAUGGGAAGACCAAGAUAAAUAUGAAAGAGAAGCCAGUAAAUAUUGGAAUGAAUUUUACAAGACUCAUAAAAAUAACUUCUUCAAGGAUCGUAAUUGGCUAUUUCUGGAAUUUCCAGAAAUUCUUCCAGAAGAAAAGAGACAAGAAUUGAGGAGAGAAGAAAGAUCUUCAGAACACAGAAAAAUAAAUAGUACCAACAGGUUUUCACACAAAAAUGAAAUGUUUGAUGAAGGAGAAAAAUACUGGAAGAAAAAUUAUGGAGGUGGUUCUACUGCUGUACAAGGAUAUGUAUAUAAUAAAACCCAAGCAGAAACGCCUAGUGAAAAUCCUCAGGGUAAAAACUGUGGAGAAGAACUUGGCAGGCUAGAAUCUUUCCCUGGUAGUGAUGCCACUUACAGAAUAUUAGAGGUUGGUUGUGGAGCUGGAAACAGUGUCUUUCCUAUUUUGGAAGUUCUAUGCAAUACACCUGGAACCUUUCUAUACUGUUGUGAUUUUGCUUCAGGAGCAGUGGAGCUGGUAAAGUCACAUUCGUCCUACAAUUCAGCCUGGUGUUCUGCCUUUGUUCAUGAUGUGUGUGAUGAUGCUUUACCCUAUCCUUUUCCAGAUGAGAUCCUGGAUGUCAUUCUCCUUGUCUUUGUGCUCUCUACUAUUCAUCCUGACAGGUGGUGCUGCCUUUUCUGUCUGUGGCAGCACACUUGGUUGCUUUAUGUUUGCAAAUGUCACCAGUAUCCCGUCUAUUUUCUAAGGAUGCAAGGGGUUGUAAAUAGGUUGGCUAAGCUACUGAAACCUGGAGGAAUGUUGUUAUUUCGAGACUAUGGAAGAUACGAUACAGCUCAACUUCGGUUUAAAAAAGGUCAUUGCUUGUCAGAAAAUUUUUAUGUACGAGGAGAUGGAACCAGAGUGUAUUUCUUUACCAAAGAUGAGGUAUGGAACAUGUUCAGCUUGGCUGGAUUAACUGAAGUACAGAAUUUAGUUGAUCGGCGGUUACAAGUAAACAGGAAGAAAAAAGUGAAAAUGCAGCGAGUUUGGAUACAAAGCAAGUUCCAGAAACCGUUACUGUCUCUGCAUAAUCCUGAAGAAACCACCAAAAGGCACCCUUAUAAAUAAUUGCACUCUAGAAAUGUAAUACAGAAAUGAACUCCAGAAACUGAAGCAACAUGGAGCACUCCAAGAACAAGAUUUGGAGUAUUUAAGGGAUCUACUAAAGCUCAGAAAUGAAACAUAGGUCAUUUAAAACGAUGGAUCUUUCCAGAGUAAUAGCAAAGCUUGACCAUGUGAGAACAGAGUUUUCUCUGGAAACAGUUCAGCUCUGUCUCAGAAACUAGAGAUAAGGAACAUAAGUACCCAUGUUUGUGUGCACGUGUGUGUAAAACAAAAUAAAAAUUCCAAAACAAAGCAGGUUGACUCGCUCCUUCCCAGCUCUACAUAGACAGAAUCGCAGAGACAGCAGUUGUGUUGCUUUAUGCUUGCCUGAGGCAUGGUCAGGAAACAAUAUAGAAAUACAUAAAAACAUAGAAUGGAAAAAAUAAACUAAUGUGUAGAAAUAUCUUGCUGCUAUUUUGUUUGUCUCUCUGUGUAUUGUAAAUAAAUGAGUAUGUGCAGUUGACCGUGGAUUAUCCUUUACCCUUGAGGGUCUAAAAACUUAAUUUGGAGCAAGUUUUACAGGGUAUUUCACAACUUCUUUGGAUUUUUUUUUUUUUACUUUUUAAUAACUUGGCAUAUGAAUUUAUGAGUGUACUGUGGUCCUAUAAUCAAAAAGAAGAUCAAAAUAGUGACUAGAAUAAGUGAAAAAGAGAUAGAACUGGCACAAAAUCUGUAUGGAACAAAGAAGUUACAUUUAUUAUUCAAAGUACAACUCCCAUUGGGAACUUACAUAGGUAUCAUAUAAAUCAUGAUGGAAUAGGUCCUCUAACGAAGGACCAUUAUUAUGGGAAGCAGGUAGUCUCCAUUUAAAAUAAAAAGCUAGGCACAAUUAUACUGGUUGUUAGCAUGCAAGCAGCUAAAAGAGCCCUGUGUGUUACUAGGCACUAACCCUUACUACCUGAAAUGGAAUUGUCUGAUAGGAAAAUUGGGUAGGACUUUCUGUGGGAAAAAAUGCAAAUUGUGUACAAAGUUAUGCAUAUGAGUCUUAUGACUGAUAUUAGUGGUUUAAGGUUAAGUUUUUUGGCAAUGAAACAAAUAUUUUGGCUGUUCCUGAGGCCUGUGAGCUUUAUUAAGUACAUGAAUUACAAGUAAUCUGAUAGCAUAGUAUGUUCUCUUUGCUUCCCUAGGAUCCUUGAACCUUGACUGAAUCCCUUCAUCUGAGACAGGCGUUACUUUCACCAUUGUUUCUAUGACAGCUGAAUGUGAAUGGUGAAUGUAUCUUUGGAAGGCAGAAGAUGAGAUGCAUUGCCUUUUAGUGGUCAAGGUUUUUAUGUGUUGGUAUUGAGUUUUAUAUUAAGAUUUUGCAAAAGUGAAAAUAAGUUUUCCCUAGAGAGAUAAGAAAUAAAGGAAUAAGAUAUCUCUCCAUACAAUAACUCCUACUGUGAAAUUCUAGCCCUAUUUGUAAUGCUAGGUUAAUAGUUGGAAUUGAUGAUCUUAAAAAGGUCUAUGAUUCUAACAAGAGCUUUGCUACUGACUUCAGGAUGAUCACAGUUUUAGUCCUAAGGUGCAGCUGUGCUUUUCUAGGAAAGCUAAAGUAUAAAAUACAGCUUCUGCCAGCACAUCAUCAGUGCAAUAGGACGGGUAGAGGAAACACUGAAUUACAUCCAUAGCCAAUAACAGCUGCUGUGAGCAUCCUGAUGAUCAGUGUAUUAAUGUUAGUCACCAGCUUUUUGGGUUUGUAUAAGAUUAUUUUCUUCAAAUCUGAAUGAAGUAGACUCAAGGUGAAUUGGAGUUCUUUGUGGAACUGUGGUUAGUAUUUUUUUAAACUCUUUAAAGAAUGUCAGAUGUGGUAAAGCUUCUUAGAUUUUUAUUAAUAAAUAACACUGUUUAUAACUAACUAAGUUUUGAAGCCCUCCAAGGCACUGUUUAAUUUUUCAGCUCUCUUUUUUUGGUUCUGUCUAGUUCUGUAUUACCUUCCUAUCAUCAGGUCUUGCCUUUUGUAAAGCAGAUAUACUCAUACACACGUUUCUGGGAGGUAUUGUGCACGUCAUGAAAGAAGGAAAAUGACUCGUGAUUGGGAUCCCAGUCUUCACUGCCCCACAGCUCAGUGGGUAUGAGAUAGUGUGCUUGGCUAUCAGCAACACUGCACAGGGUCUUUGGCCAGUACAUUGGCUACAAGUCAUGGAUUGAAGACUGUUCCUUCAUAUCUUUCAGGCAGAGCUAACAUGCUCUUUUUGAUAGGGCUGUUAUGAUGUCAGCUAAGAAAAUAACUCUUUGAUGUGUUUGCAUGAGAAUGAAUCCUGUAGAUAAAAUUAUAUUGCAUAAUAGUUUCCUGCAGCUCCCCAGAUACUUAUUAGAGUAUUCGGAAAUUUAAUUCAGCCUCUCCCUAAGAAUUGAGAUCUCCACUUUGUACUUCUGAUUGCUUCUCUCAGCUCAAUUAAUGACAUGGACACACUUGUUCUUUCUCUGAAUAGUGUCUGGGUGCCUCCUGCCAGAGCAGUGGAGAUCACCUUCUGCUGAGCUCAUAGAUACACGCAGGAAUAGAGCCAUAAUGGGUGCUUCAGGGCAGUGUGUAAUAUCCUCUUCCAAAUUAAGGAGGCUCUGAGACCAGUCAGUUUUUCCCUGCCUGUAUUUGAUUGCACACUUGAAAUCAGCUGACUCUCGGAUCAAGUGGUGCCUUGUAGCUUUAAACUCAGCAGUGGCUGUCGUCUGUGUUAGGGAAUUUUUCUGUCACUAUAAAAGGCAAAACAAGACUAAAGAUACUAAAGAUGGCCCAGGAAUUUUUUGCAGUGAUCCUCCCUGAGAAACUUGAAAUUUCUUGAUUGCAAAUGGGAAAACUCUUGAAGCAGUAUGUGUACAUGGUAGCGAGAACUUGAGAAGGUAAGAAAAGGAUUUAUUUGAAUACUUUUCAAAAAUAAAGUGAAAAACAAUUAUGUAUAUCAAAUCAGAAUGAAAUAGAAUUUGUAGGGUGAGGUGACAAAGUCCUCCUACAAUCUGAAAGUAGUCAAGACUGGGCAAAGUUCUGCAUUGUGGUAUUAGAUGUCAACAUCCUGAUGUAUUCAGCUUGGCACAGUGAGACCACUUCAUUGCCUCAUUUCAUGCUAGUGUGUUUCAGGCUAUGUGCUGAAUAUUUCCAGUACUUGGCUUUUUAUACUAUGUGCAAUAGAUUAAAUUUUCCUAUUUUGACAGGGAAUAUCUGUAGCAGGAUGCCCUGAAAUGCCUUAGGGAUUCAAGCUGUCCCUUAAUCAAUGCUGCAGAGGAUGCAGUUUUGAUUUUUUUUUCUCUAAUAUAUGAACUAUGACACUAGAUUCAUCCUGGCAUACAUCUGUCAGACCAGACUGAAGGCAUUCAGUUAGAGACACUUCAUUACCAGCAUAGGGCCAACAAAUAGGAGACAAUCUAAAAAAGGGGGAUUGAAAUAUAACAUAGAUGGGAAAUAUAAGAUAUCUCAAAAUAAGGUCAUAAUGGAGGACAUAAAUUGCACAUCUUUGCAGACAGCAACAGGACAUCCUCAAAAUAUGCUACAGUAUCUGCAGUCUGAUACCAACUUUUACAAAUAUGCAACAAAUAUGGAUUGUUUCUGCAAAGAACAGCUAUGGGUCAAGAUGUAACAUAACAGAGAAAAUAACUCUGCAAAUAUAAAUAUUUAUUAUUAGUGGAGAGAAACUGCUUCCUACUAAAAUUGGCAAGAAUGAUGAAUCCAACCCUCUUAGUAUUUACUGGAGAAUUAGAAGGCUAAUGAGGUGCAGUGAAAAACCCUUUUCUGCCUUCUAGAAAAAUCAGCAAAGCUAACACUGUCAGACCAUAAUGAAGAAUACUCCAGCAUACUGAGAGCUACUGGGCUGCAGAUCCACCACUAAAAAUCUCCAGUGCUUGAUACUGACCCAAAAAGAGAAAAAUACAAAAUGAAAAAUCCUGCAUUAUCUGAAGGACAUGCAGAAUUUUUUUCCACCUGUAUUUUUUGUGAUUCUUAAUACUGGUGUGAAACACUGCUGGACUGCCAUACAGCAAAUUACAAGCAAGAGAUGAAUGUGUCUGGUUUGAUCUCUGAGCUUCUUUGAUUAGAUGCAGAUAAGAGUCAAUGUCAUCUCUACAUAUUGUGGCAUGUUUAACAUCUGCUGUGCCUUUCUGGGUUGGUUUGCAGUUUGAGUCCUUAACUUAUGACCUUUUCUUUUUUUUUUUUUGAUUUAGCCAUUGAUUACACCCUAGAAGAUGUGAUUCAUUUGAACUACAAAACCUCUGCUUGUUGUGGUACUAAUAAGCAUUGUGCCUACUGAAAGCUGUAGCAGAAGAGAGAGGGAGGAGGCCUAACAUGCUUGACACUGUCUUUUGUCUGUGUUGCAGCAAGGGGAGAAGGAAAGAUGUAUAGGAAUUGUCUUAUCAUCAUGCACACAUAUACACACACAUGAGCAUUUUUAUUUAUUUAUCUAAUCUCCUGGACACUUUUUCAAUGCCUGUCUUAACCCUUUGUUCUUAAAGUAAGCAAGGAAAAACUAUAUGACAGGCAUUUAAUUUUUUUCUUUCUCGAGAGCAGCUAGUAUCCCUUGUGUUGAGAAGAAAAUGGUACUGUGUGGAAAGCUAAAUUUCAAUUAACACAUCAAAGGGCAGUUUGUGGUGUUUUGCCUAUAACUAAGGCUUAACUGAGUUGCAGGACUCUGGGAAUUUCGUGUUUUCCUAUAUGCUCACUUAUUGCAUUCUUAGCUCUCCUACUUUUCUACUCUUCCUCUGCUUCUCCAAAUGGGACUAAUGAAAGCAGUAUAAUCUUGUCGAAUAUGGUUCUUGCUGAGGAAUUAGAUGAACAGCUGCUGGGAACAGUCUGGGAAUACAAUUUGGUGAAAAAAAAAGAGAUGAGAUACAAACAAAUUCCCUUAUGAUGCCAUUUAUUCUAUGUGCAGUAUUAUACCAGAGGGUGGAAAAAUGGGAAGGCCUAAAAUUGAAUUUCAAUUUGAGCUGGUUUAAAAAGAAGCAAUUCUACAUGCAUUGCAGCCACAGAAACAUAUAUUUAUAGGCACAGACUUUCACUUUGUAGGUAGAAACUGCACAGCUGUUUGUGUACAUUUGGUUUUUUACAUGCAUAAAAACUUACUUUUACAGGCACAACUAUUGUACUUUCUUCUCAGUAUUUCCCAAACAGUUAUGCUAAUUCCUACAU